GUACGUGCAUCCUGCCUCAGAGUCGUGUUCCUCUGCUGAAGCUGCUCAUACAUCUGCAAGAAACAGAGGAAGCCUGACACACACGUGCACAAAACUGGAAGUUUGAAGCCAGCUCCACCCACUUCAAUGCUACUGUGGAGGGGGCGUGGCCUGCGAGCCUGCCGCGGUACGGGGUGUGCAAGGACGGGCCUCGAAGACAGCGACUGGAGAGUAGAUGGCCCAGUGGCGCAGUUGGGAGAGUGGCAGUGCCAGCAACCCGAGGGUUCCUGGUUCAAUCCCUACCUUCUACCAACCUUAUCACGUCCGUUGUGUCCUUGAGCAAGACACUUGGUCCUUGCUCCUGAUGGGUCGUGGUUAGGGUCUUCUAUGGCAGCUCCCACCAUCACCAUGUGAAUGUGUGUGUGAAUGGGAGAAUGUGGAAAUAGUGUCAAAAGCGCUUUGAGUAGCUUGAAGGUAGAAAAGCGCUAUACAAGUAGAACCCAUUUACCAUUUAUAUUUUAUAAUUGUUAUUACUGUACGAUGUAACACUGGCUGUGUACCAGUGGCAGGUGGUUUACAACUUCACUUAAAAAAGUGUAAAUUUUUCCAUAUCAGCAAGAACAUUGGAAUGAAAGAUGAAAAAUGCUUUGACACUAUUUCAAGAUUGCUGAUUUACUCAUAAUGCUGUCAAUCAAAAAGAGAUUCAGCCCAGUCAGGUCGCCUCUUCACUCUUAUUCAUUCGCUCAGUGUCCCUGGCCGGGACUAAGCCAAGUAUUCAUCCAAUGAUUGUCUCGUUUAGCAGCAGCACUGUGACGCUACCACAUCAAUGAAAAAAAGUGGCGCAAAUUUAGCUGUCGCCAAAAUAGCUGAUUCUAAAAAAAAGUUGAACGCAGUCUGAUGCAUUUAGUCAAUGAAAUGCAACACAAAAGCACGUAUUUGACCACUUUUUUUUAGAUUUUAGUGGAAGCUGAACUUUUCUUGCAGUCUUUAGCAAUCGCCACUGCUGUAUACCUGGCAUGUUAGAACAAAACGGGUAAGAGAAGUCGGCAAGUCAGAUCCGUAACUUUGAAACAAGGGCUCUAAGGGCUGAGUGGGUCUGGCUAGAGUGCAAAGGAGGGCUGUGCACAUGCCAUGGUUGGAGGAGCCGCCAGCCCACCGGCCAAGUCGCAGCCGCCGGAGCCAAAGUGAGGAAAAAAGGCAGUGUGGAUGGUGCCUCGUCGUCUCCUCCCGAAGUUCCACUCACAUUCAUCUUACUUACGGUUGAUUAAACUUUUUCAGUGGCCACAUUUUCCGUGCAUCACUAAUCAAUAGUGCGUAAAUAAUAGGUUAUAUAUCCAUUCAUACAGUAUAUUAUUUUAAUUUGCUUUCAUGUAAAAGACCCUGAUUGUUAUGGUGUGGCGGACGACGCCACGGUCAGAUACAUAUAUGGUAAACUCUGAUCUUAAUGCUUGUGCUCACACAUCAUCCAACUUUUUAAUUUUCGAUUUUGCUGCUGAGCAAUAUGCCAUACAUCUAUAAUCUAACAUUGAACUAAUCAAGGCCACAUAAACUGAUUAAGAGCUACACAACUCGCUCCCAAGUUCUACCUUACAAACACAUGUAUUACUUUUUUUUACAUUUAUACACAAUUAUUUAUAUAUGUGUCUUCAAUGUUAACCGUGAAUCAAAAACCAUACCUAAACAUUUAAAUUGCUUGGCUUUCAUAGACAAACCAAACAGUCCAGUUGUGAUUGCUUGAAUGCCCUAAAAUUGCUUACAAUAGCGCUACACAUAAUAUUUCCAAAAUAUACCGUUGGAAAUAACAUUGCAACGGCUUUGAUACGAUAGAAAAAUACCGUGAGUCAUUAGAUAAGAAGACCCUUUGUCGUUAUAAGGAGAAAAACAGCCGUAAUUGAAUGUGAGGAUAUUUACCAGAUCGACAAGUCUGAGUGCAGCAGAGACCAUAACAUCUUCCCCCGAUGUUUCAUACCCAAACUUGGUGAACUACCUAAAUUUUAUAACCCAGCCAAAUUCACACUUUGAAAUACUUUAACAAUUAUAAGAGUCUAAAAAGCUAUGCAGUUUGUUUGUGGAUGGUUGUGUGACGUUUGUAUUUAUCUGUAUAAACCCAGUGGACAUUGUAUCGUCAAAGCUAGAGUCAUGCACUUUCAGAAAUCUUCACAACCUAAGUUUGACAG